UGAAGGAGGCGCCGUUAUGGACGAAGUCCAUAAUUAAAAUCGGCGCCGACGACGUGCCGCCGAGCGAAGGCGAGGGGGCGAUACAUUGA
rfam:Clostridium sp. CAG:62 genomic scaffold, scf183